GGAGGGGUGGCCGAGUGGCUGAAGGCGGCGGUUUGCUAAACCGUUAUACGGGUAACCCCGUAUCGAGGGUUCGAAUCCCUUCCCCUCCGCCA
rnacentral:tRNA from 1 species